GGGGGGGUGGUGAGGGUACCUGUCUGGUACAGGUACCUCCACCACACUCCCCCCUCUCUCCCUGGCCUGUCUCCCCUUGUCUGGUACAGGUACCCCCACCACACUCACCCCUCUCUCCCUGGCCUGUCUGGUACAGGUACCCCCACCACACUCACCCCUCUCUCCCUGGCCUGUCUCCCCUUGUCUGGUACAGGUACCCCCACCACACUCACCCCUCUCUCCCUGGCCUGUCUGGUACAGGUACCCCCACCACACUCACCCCUCUCUCCCUGGCCUGUCUGGUACAGGUACCUCCACCACACUCACCCCUCUCUCCCUGGUCUGUCUCCCCCUGUCUGGUACAGGUACCCCCACCACACUCCCCCUCUCUCCCUGGCCUGUCUCCCCUUGUCUGGUACAGGUACCUCCACCACACUCACCCCUCUCUCCCUGGCCUGUCUCCCCUUGUCUGGUACAGGUACCCCCACCACACUCCCCC
ensembl:lncRNA